rnacentral:rRNA from 1 species
AGAGCGAACGCUGGCGGCAGGCUUAACACAUGCAAGUCGAGCGGGCGUAGCAAUACGUCAGCGGCAGACGGGUGAGUAACGCGUGGGAACGUACCUUUUGGUUCGGAACAACCCAGGGAAACUUGGGCUAAUACCGGAUAAGCCCUUACGGGGAAAGAUUUAUCGCCGAAAGAUCGGCCCGCGUCUGAUUAGCUAGUUGGUGAGGUAAUGGCUCACCAAGGCGACGAUCAGUAGCUGGUCUGAGAGGAUGAUCAGCCACAUUGGGACUGAGACACGGCCCAAACUCCUACGGGAGGCAGCAGUGGGGAAUAUUGGACAAUGGGCGCAAGCCUGAUCCAGCCAUGCCGCGUGAGUGAUGAAGGCCCUAGGGUUGUAAAGCUUCUUUUGUGCGGGAAGAUAAUGACGGUACCGCAAGAAUAACGCCCCGGACUAACUUCGUGCCAGCAGCCGC